rnacentral:tRNA from 1 species
GGUCCUAUAGGAUAAUUUAAUCUUUUAGUUUGCAGAUCUAGAUAUACUUUUAGUUGGGGCUU